rnacentral:rRNA from 1 species
AGAGUUUGAUCCUGGCUCAGGACGAACGCUGGCGGUGUGCUUAACACAUGCAAGUGGUGCGACGAACCAGGCUUCGGCCUGGGGCAAAGCCGCGAACGGGUGAGUAUCACGUGGGUAAUCUGCCCCAAUGACCGGGACAACCCGAGGAAACUCGGGCUAAUACCGGAUGUGGUGCACAGGCUUAAGUCUGUGUACUAAAGGUAGCUUCGGCUUCCGCAUUGGGAGGGGCCCGCGGCCCAUUAGCUUGUUGGUGGGUCAAGGCCUACCAAGGCAACGAUGGGUAGCCGGUCUGAGAGGACGAUCAGCCACACUGGGACUGAGACACGGCCCAGACUCCUACGGGAGGCAGCAGUGGGGAAUCUUGCGCAAUGCGCGAAAGCGUGACGCAGCAACACCGCGUGAGGGAAGACGGCCUUAGGGUUGUAAACCUCUUUCAGUUGGGACGAAGGUGCAGCGGUGAACAGCCGACUGGAUUGACGGUACCUUCAGAAGAAGCUCCGGCUAACUACGUGCCAGCAGCCGCGGUAAUACGUAGGGAGCGAGCGUUGUCCGGAAUCAUUGGGCGUAAAGAGCGCGUAGGUGGAUCAAUUAGUCUGCUGUGAAAGUCAAAGGCUCAACCUUUGAAAGCCGGUGGAUACUGUUGAUCUAGAGUACGGAAGAGGCGAGUGGAAUUCCUGGUGUAGCGGUGGAAUGCGCAGAUAUCAGGAGGAACACCAAUAGCGAAGGCAGCUCGCUGGGACGUUACUGACACUGAGGCGCGAAAGCGUGGGGAGCAAACAGGAUUAGAUACCCUGGUAGUCCACGCCGUAAACGAUGGGUACUAGAUGUGGGAGGUGUCGACUCCUCCCGUAUCGCAGCUAACGCACUAAGUACCCCGCCUGGGGAGUACGGCCGCAAGGCUAAAACUUAAAGGAAUUGAUGG